UAUGUUUAGAAAUAUAGUAGCCAUAAUCUGAAUGGUGGUGGCAAUUACUAAGUUCCCAAAGUUAUAUCCUUAACACCUUGCCAAGUAUAUAUCAGGGUGAUGGUAAAGCAAAUCUUGUCCUUUUUUUAAAUAGGUAAAAACUGUAAAACCAUGUAUAAUAAAAGUAACUUUUAAGUCUCA